AUAAUUCGGUUUUCGCAAUAAUAAUCAUGUGUCAUGCAUACACGCCGUUCGCAUAUAUGAUUCCUCAGCCCAUAGUGUCUUUUCAUUUCACAGAGUCUUCAUCCUAACUUAUUUAUAUCGCUAUCCGUUACAGUUAUCAUCAAACUAGUGGCCCGCCUUUUUACUAUUCCUUGGAUACGUCUAACAACAAUCAUGCAACUCGAACACUGGUCAAACCUCAAACGCUCUCUCAAACAUGCAUGCCAUUAUCAUUUCUUUGGACGUAAUCCCCAACUGAACCUACACUCACACUUCUUACAAGACCGCAAUCAUAUCGACUCCAAACACACCCUAAUCAUCCUCGAUGCACAAUUUGGUGACUCCUGAACUAAAAUUCAAUCGUUCCUAUUGUCCUUCAUUCUCUUCAGCGAUUGAAGAGUUGAAGAUAAGGAAAAAUUCCGUAACUGUCUAGCAGUAUGUAGCACUUCGCUAAUAGCUGACAAAAGAAAAGUUCGAACUACCAUGACUGUCAUACUACUACAGUCAAGGUCAAAAAAAGCACCCCUGAGUACUACUCUGUGAAACAACGAUGCUACUAAAACAAUGACCAUUGUUUCAUCAUUCGAGUACGCUUAUCUGCACCUUACAGCGGCGCCAACGCGAAAGCUUCUGAAACCGAAGUUCAUUUCGCUGAAUUCUGAAGAUAUUCUAAUCUUUAAACUGGUAAAAUAUAAUAUUCACAAUGGACGAAUGGAGGACUAUCAUCUAUGCGGCUAUGAUUUCAACAUAUUUGCUGGCCAAAUUCCCAAAUUCUUGCCAGAAAAGUCUGCAAGCUCAUAUGAGGAGCUGCCAUGCUUCUUCAGGAUAUAACAUGGCAAAUACUGUCGGCCUAAUUUGGAAUUAUAACAAUCUAAUGCACUGGAUAAUUUUUUAUUACGGCGGUAUACUAACUGCCCUUCGUUGAAUAGUUUCGAAAAUGUUCGAUACCUCAAAUUAUAACGCUGUUUCGAAGCAUCAUACGAUUUUUCUAGGUUUUCCUCAGGACUAUCGCUCGAACAAGGGUUAACAAAGUCAAUACCUGACAUGGCCAUUUCUUGUCCAUGAAUUAUAAAAUACGGUGAGAACCCAGUUGAGGAAUGUUGUGUGAUAUUUAAGAUCCGUUCAACGUCGGAUAUUCUCACGUCCCAGCUUUCAUCAAAUCUCGCAACCGCCGUUUUCUCUGCGUACACUGAGGAUCAUUAUCUUUAAAUUUAUCGAGUGAUACGCUACGCGAUUCAAGUUCGAAAUCUAAUUCAUCCUCUGUUAAAUGAUCUACUCGCAUAGAGUAAUACAUCUCAUUAAAUGUAGAUAAUAAUGUUUUAGUCAUUGUGAAUUCCGAUUACCGCGAACUAAAUUCGAAAAUA